AGAGUUUGAUCCUGGCUCAGGAUGAACGCUGGCGGCGUGCCUAACACAUGCAAGUCGAGCGAGAAAUAUAUAAUGGAGGCUUCGGCCAAAGUUGUAUAUUGAAAGCGGCGGACGGGUGAGUAACGCGUGGGUAACCUGCCCUAUACAGGGGGAUAACAACGAGAAAUCGUUGCUAAUACCGCAUAAGCGCACAGUAUUGCAUAAUACAGUGUGAAAAACUCCGGUGGUAUAGGAUGGACCCGCGUCUGAUUAGCUAGUUGGUAAGGUAAAGGCUUACCAAGGCGACGAUCAGUAGCCGACCUGAGAGGGUGAUCGGCCACAUUGGGACUGAGACACGGCCCAAACUCCUACGGGAGGCAGCAGUGGGGAAUAUUGCACAAUGGGGGAAACCCUGAUGCAGCAACGCCGCGUGAAGGAAGAAGGUUUUCGGAUUGUAAACUUCUAUCAGCAGGGAAGAAAAUGACGGUUCCUGACUAAGAAGCCCCGGCUAACUACGUGCCAGCAGCCGCGGUAAUACGUAGGGGGCAAGCGUUAUCCGGAAUUACUGGGUGUAAAGGGUGCGUAGGCGGCAACGCAAGUCAGAUGUGAAAGCCCGAUGCUCAACAUCGGGACUGCAUUUGAAACUGCGUAGCUAGAGUGCAGGAGAGGUAAGUGGAAUUCCUAGUGUAGCGGUGAAAUGCGUAGAUAUUAGGAAGAACACCAGUGGCGAAGGCGGCUUACUGGACUGUAACUGACGCUGAGGCACGAAAGCGUGGGGAGCGAACAGGAUUAGAUACCCUGGUAGUCCACGCUGUAAACGAUGAGUGCUAGGUGUUGGGGGUCGACAGACCUUCGGUGCCGACGUUAACACAUUAAGCACUCCACCUGGGGAGUACGAUCGCAAGAUUGAAACUCAAAGGAAUUGACGG
rnacentral:rRNA from 1 species